GGAGUCUAGCAUGUGUGCAAGUCAUUGAGCUUUACGACACUCAAAGGCGAGGUGAUAGCAAAGACUUGUUUUAUGCAAGUUUAGAUGUGAUCCCGGUUGUCCAAGUGACACUAGGCGCAACAUCGGCCCGGCUUAAUGUGUCUGUCACAGGGGCGGUGUAAGAGCGUACAUGCUGAAGCCCGAAAGAUGGUGAACUAUGCUUGCGCAGGUUGAAGCCAGAGGAAACUCUGGUGGAGGACCGUAGCGAUUCUGACGUUCAAAUCGAUCGUCAGACGUGAGUAUAGGGGCGAAAGACUAAUCGAACCAUCUAGUAGCUGGUUCCCUCCGAAGUUUCCCUCAGGAUAGCUGGCAUACAUGAAUCAAACAGUUUUAUCCGGUAAAGCGAAUGAUUAGAGGUAUUGGGGACGAAAUGUCCGCAACCUAUUCUCAAACUUUAAAUGGGUGAGAAGCUGAACUCUCUUAAUUGGAGAGCUCAUAAGAUACCACACAAGGUGUUGGUUGAUAUAGACAGCAGGACGGUGUCCAUGGAAGCUGGAAUCCCCUAAGGAGUGUGUAACAACUCACCUGCCUUGGCAUUGAAUGUGUGUGCCUAGUGGGCCAUUUUUGGUAAGCAGAACUGGCGCUGUGGGAUGAACCCAACGUCUAGUUAAAGUGCCUAACACCAGAAUCAACCAGCCCUGAAAAUGGAUGGCGCUGAGCGUUGGACUCAUACUAGACCAACACUGUCAUGGAUUGACUGGAUACAGUGUUGAGUAGGAGGGUCGCCGUGGUGAGCGUUGAAGCUUCGUCUGUGAAGGCGUGUGGAGCCGCCACGGGUGCAGAUCUUGGUGGUAGUA
rnacentral:rRNA from 1 species